rnacentral:rRNA from 1 species
UGAAUACAUAGGGUAAGGAGGCGAACCGGGGGAACUGAAACAUCUAAGUACCCCGAGGAAAAGAAAUCAACCGAGAUUCCGAAAGUAGCGGCGAGCGAAAUUGGACUAGCCCUUAAGCUUUACACGCGUUAGACGAACGGUCUGGAAAGUCCGACGAUACAGGGUGAUAGUCCCGUAGUUGACGACGUGUGUUCAGUGAAAUCGAGUAGGGCGGGACACGUGAUAUCCUGUCUGAAUAUGGGGGGACCAUCCUCCAAGGCUAAAUACUACUGACUGACCGAUAGUGAACCAGUACCGUGAGGGAAAGGCGAAAAGAACCCCUGUGAGGGGAGUGAAAUAGAACCUGAAACCGUG